rnacentral:rRNA from 1 species
UACGUAGGGUGCGAGCGUUACUCGGAAUCACUGGGCGUAAAGGGUGCGUAGGCGGGUUUUUAAGUCAGGGGUGAAAUCCUGGAGCUCAACUCCAGAACUGCCUUUGAUACUGAAGAUCUUGAGUCCGGGAGAGGUGAGUGGAACUGCGAGUGUAGAGGUGAAAUUCGUAGAUAUUCGCAAGAACACCAGUGGCGAAGGCGGCUCACUGGCCCGGUACUGACGCUGAGGCACGAAAGCGUGGGGAGCAAACAGG